rnacentral:rRNA from 2 species
AGAGUUUGAUCCUGGCUCAGGAUGAACGCUGGCGGCGUGCCUAAUACAUGCAAGUCGAGCGAACGGACGAGAAGCUUGCUUCUCUGAUGUUAGCGGCGGACGGGUGAGUAACACGUGGAUAACCUACCUAUAAGACUGGGAUAACUUCGGGAAACCGGAGCUAAUACCGGAUAAUAUUUUGAACCGCAUGGUUCAAAAGUGAAAGACGGUCUUGCUGUCACUUAUAGAUGGAUCCGCGCUGCAUUAGCUAGUUGGUAAGGUAACGGCUUACCAAGGCAACGAUGCAUAGCCGACCUGAGAGGGUGAUCGGCCACACUGGAACUGAGACACGGUCCAGACUCCUACGGGAGGCAGCAGUAGGGAAUCUUCCGCAAUGGGCGAAAGCCUGACGGAGCAACGCCGCGUGAGUGAUGAAGGUCUUCGGAUCGUAAAACUCUGUUAUUAGGGAAGAACAUAUGUGUAAGUAACUGUGCACAUCUUGACGGUACCUAAUCAGAAAGCCACGGCUAACUACGUGCCAGCAGCCGCGGUAAUACGUAGGUGGCAAGCGUUAUCCGGAAUUAUUGGGCGUAAAGCGCGCGUAGGCGGUUUUUUAAGUCUGAUGUGAAAGCCCACGGCUCAACCGUGGAGGGUCAUUGGAAACUGGAAAACUUGAGUGCAGAAGAGGAAAGUGGAAUUCCAUGUGUAGCGGUGAAAUGCGCAGAGAUAUGGAGGAACACCAGUGGCGAAGGCGACUUUCUGGUCUGUAACUGACGCUGAUGUGCGAAAGCGUGGGGAUCAAACAGGAUUAGAUACCCUGGUAGUCCACGCCGUAAACGAUGAGUGCUAAGUGUUAGGGGGUUUCCGCACCUUAGUGCUGCAGCUAACGCAUUAAGCACUCCGCCUGGGGAGUACGACCGCAAGGUUGAAACUCAAAGGAAUUGACGGGGACCCGCACAAGCGG